rnacentral:rRNA from 1 species
UACGAAGGGAGCUAGCGUUGUUCGGAAUCACUGGGCGUAAAGCGCACGUAGGCGGAUGUGUCAGUCAGGGGUGAAAUCCCGGAGCUCAACUUCGGAACUGCCUUUGAUACAGCACAUCUGGAGUCCGGAAGAGGUGGGUGGAAUUCCUAGUGUAGAGGUGAAAUGCGUAGAUAUCGAGAGGAACACCUGCGGCGAAGGCGGGUAGCUGGGCCGACACUGACGCUGAGGCGCGAAAGCUAGGGGAGCGAACGGG